rnacentral:rRNA from 1 species
GACGAACCGUGCGAACGUUAUUCGGAAUCACUGGGCUUAAAGCGCGUGUAGGUGGGCCGGCACGUCCGAUGCUGAAAUCCCCCGCUCAACCGGGGAAGUGGCUCGGAUACGACCAGCCUGGAGGGACGUAGGGGGACCUGGAACUUCCGGUGGAGCGGUGAAAUGCGUUGAGAUCGGAAGGAACGCCCGUGGCGAAAGCGAGGUCCUGGACGUUUUCUGACACUGAGACGCGAAAGCCAGGGAGCGAACGGG